GGAAUAUUGCACAAUGGGCGAAAGCCUGAUGCAGCGACGCCGCGUGGACGAUGAAGGUUUUCGGAUCGUAAAGUCCCUUUCUGUGUGACGAGCAAGGACGGUAGCACAGGAAUAAGUGUCGGCUAACUACGUGCCCGCAGCCGCGGUAAUACGUAGGACGCAAGCGUUAUCCGGAAUUACUGGGCGUAAAGAGCGUGUAGGCGGUUGUCCAAGUCGCCCGUGAAAGCUCCCGGCUAAACUGGGAGAGGUCGGGUGAGACUGGAUGGCUAGAGGGUUGUAGAGGGGUGUGGAAUUCCGGGUGUAGUGGUGAAAUGCGUAGAUAUCCGGAGGAACACCAGAGGCGAAGGCGGCACCCUGGACAACACCUGACGCUGAGACGCGAAAGCGCGGGGAGCAAA
rnacentral:rRNA from 1 species